AGAGUUUGAUCCUGGCUCAGAAUAAACGCUGGCGGCGUGCCUAACACAUGCAAGUCGAGCGAGAAAGGUCUUCGGACUGAGUAAAGCGGCAAACGGGUGAGUAACGCGUAGGAAUCUACCGUUCAGUGGAGAAUACCCUCGAGAAAUCGAGGUUAAUACUGCAUACGUCUAGAAAUAGAGAAAGAUGGCCUCUUUGCUGU
rnacentral:rRNA from 1 species